UCGCCAGGAAAGGGAAAGCGAAAGCGGAGCGCGGUGUCACACGGAGGAGCGGGGCCGCGGCUGGAGUGGGGCUGGGGGCGACGGGCGACCCCGCGGGAGUUCUGGUACACACUGCUGCUGGUGGAGCCAGAGUGUGAAGAAAAGGUCAGGAAUCUGAAGAGGCUCUUGAUACAUGGAUUGUAGUUGGAAGAGGCAGGGGAUGAAGGCAAGGCUGGGAAAUCCCCCCUCUUGGAAGCAGGGAUGUGCUUCUCAUGGAGCAGCAGUUGACUGUCUCCACACCCAGCAGCUCUGGCUACAGAUGGCCAUGGGAGAACUCUCACUGGGGUGUCUGAGGUGACAAGAGGACACCACAGGGACAAGUGGAAUAAAGAGGUUUGAGUUAGUUCUGAAUUUGAGUGGAGGUUUACAGCCAUGGCUUUGCAACUGGUGAAGAUUAAGAUCUUAAUUUCCUGUGCAUUCUGCAGCCAGAAUACAACCUGUGUCUGCUCUGUAAGAGCUCUGGAAAUGCCAGCAUGCUGGGUGUGUGAGAAGUGUAUUCAUUUUGACGGAACAAGCCAUCCACCUUGAUACUCAGCUGUGCUGGGGUGGGAUGAAGGACACUUUACACCUUACAUCGUCUCGCUCUUGGAGAUUUUGGCCUUGCUCACACUCCUGUUACCACUUGAUUUAUCUUCACUGAUGUGCAGACACCAACCCUACCAAGACCAUUAUCAGACAAUCUCUGGAUUCCACUGGCCAAAUGCUUGAAGGUGGGAGUCUGCAGCAAGGGCUUCCCUCUACCUGAUAGUAAAUAAAGCCCAACCUCUGCCGAAUUAA